rnacentral:rRNA from 1 species
UACGAAGGGGGCUAGCGUUGCUCGGAAUGACUGGGCGUAAAGGGCGCGUAGGCGGUUUGUACAGUCAGAUGUGAAAUUCCUGGGCUCAACCUGGGGGCUGCAUUUGAUACGUGCGGACUUGAGUGAGGAAGAGGGUCGUGGAAUUCCCAGUGUAGAGGUGAAAUUCGUAGAUAUCGGGAGGAACACCAGUGGCGAAGGCGGCGACCUGGGCCAAUACUGACGCUGAGGUGCGAAAGCGUGGGGAGCAAACAGG